rnacentral:lncRNA from 1 species
AAUUAAGUAUGGGCUCUGAGUCUGACUUUUAGGUUUUAAAAUAUCUGUUUGUCAAAACUUGUUUAACCUUAGUUUCUUCUUCUAUGAGGGUGGGAUAAAAUAGUAUCUACCUCAAAGGAUUUUAAGAUGAGUUACAUAGGUAAUUAAUGUAAAUCUCUUUGUAAUGUAUGGGACACACAAGAAGCUCACAAUAAAUUUUUAUGAACCACUGCUACUCCCCUUCUGCCCAUCAGCCACUCAGUGACAGUGAUCCUUAAAUAUGCAAAUCAAAUCAUCAUACUUUUCUUAAAAACCCUACAAUGGCUUUUUUUUUUUUUUUGAGAUAGAGUUUUGCUCUUGUUGCCCAGGCUGGAGUGCGAUGGCAUGAUCUCGGCUUACUGCAACUUCCGUCUCCCAGGUUCAAGUGAUUCUCCUGCCUCAGCCUCCCGAGUAACUGGGAUUACAGGCAUGCACCACCAUGCCCAGCUAAUUUUGUAUUUUUAGUAGAAACAGGGUUUCACUAUGUUGGUCGGGCUUGUCUCGAACUCCUGACCUCGUGAUCCACCUGCCUCGGCCUCCCAAAGUGCUGGAAUUAACAGCCGUGCGCCACCGCGCCCAGCCUUUUUUUUUUUUUUUUUUUUUUUUUUUUAAGCAGUCUCCAUCGCGCAGGCUGGAGUGCAGUGACGCGAUCUCGGUUCACUGCAACCUCUGCCUCCUGGGUUCAAGUCAUUCUUCUGCCUCAGCCUCCCGAGUAGCUUAGAUUACAGGCAUGCGCCACUACGCAUAGCUAAUUUUUGUAUUUUUAGUGGAGAUGGGGUUUUGCCAUAUUGGUCAGGCUGGUCUCAAACUCCUGACCUCAGGAGAUCCACCCGGUUGGGCCACCCGAAGUGGUGGGAUUACAGGCGUGAGCCACCAUGCCUAGCCUUCGAUGGCUUUUAAUGUCUUUAAACUACAGUGGUUCCUUGGUAUCCUUUGGGUAGUGGUUAUAGUACCUCUCCCCUAUUCCUGACACCCAUGGAUACCAAAAUCUGCAGGUGCUUGAGUCCCUUAUAUAAAAUGGUAUAGUAUUUGCAUAUAACCUAUGCACAUCCUCCUGUAUAAUUUCAAUCAUUUCUAGAUUGCUAAUUCAAGGUAAAUGCUAUAUAAAUAGUUGUCAUACUGUAUUUUAAAUUUGUAUUAUUUUUAUUGUUGUAUUUUUGUUUUUAAAAUUUUUCCAAAUAUUUUCUAUCCUCAUUGGUUGAAUGCAUGGAUACAGAACCCUCAGAUAAAAAGAGCCCAGUGGAUUGACCUUUAUAUGGCUUUUGCGAUCCCGUAUGGUUGUUUAGCCACAGUUUAAAGUCCCACUACCAUUUUUCACUACUCUUUCUUUUGAUUUUUUCCCUCCAGCAAUUCUGGAUUUCUUUUGUUACUUGAGUGGACCAUUCUCUCCUUUGCAUCUAGGCCUGCAUAGUAUUUCAUAGAUUUUAGGAGAAAAAAACACUUUAUUAUGAUGGGCUACUUCCUUUGAAUUCAGUUUCUCCUUCUUACCUUUUUAUACCAAUUAUUACAAUUGUAAUUUUGUUCUUUGGCCAUUAUUCCUAUAUUCCACUUUGAUGGUGAGGAACAUAUCUGUCUUCUUCAUGGUUGUUUUUCCCCAGUGCCUGGCACAUAGAAGACAUUUGAUAAUAUUCAUUGACUGAAUGAAUAUGAUGUUCAAUGUAUUAAUCAUUUCCCAUUUCUACUUUGCAUAUUCUGUCUUAAAUAAUGAUUGUAUUUUCUGUAGAGUCUCACUUUGGAUAUUAGAUGUGUACUAGGAUUAAGUAAAAAUAACUGAACAAUGUUCUAAAAAUUCUGAGAUUUCUAUCGGAGAAAUAUUUACAUCUGCAAAAUUUUUCCUAGAAAAUAAGUUCCCAGAAAUGAUACAUUUUUGAUGUCCAAUAAAUAAAUUAUUCAUUCAAUAAAAUUGAGUGUUCUUAAUUAUAAAAACAUUUCUUAAUCCUGUAUGGUAUGUUACUUCUACUUAAUAUGACAAAACUGCUUUCAGACAUAUUAUUAAACUUGAAAAGGGAUAUUAAGUUUUAUUUGGAUAGAAGGACUAAAUAUUUUAUAAAAUGUAUUUAAUCAUUGUCUGCCCUUUGUUACUUUUCAAUAUGAUAGCCUAUAAAUAUGUAAUUGAUAACUCUGUAAACUAAUAGAAAAUUUGAGGUCUAUGGUAUUGAUGUUAUCAAGACUCCUUAGAUCAUUUUAAGUUUUCUUUCUUAUUCGUUUUUUUUUUUUUUUUAAGAGAUGGGGUCUCCCUUUGUUGUCCAGGCAGGAGUGCAGUGAUGCAAUCAUCACUCUCUGCAGCCUUGAACUCUUGGGCUCAAGCGAUUCUCCUGCCUCAGGCGCCUGAGUAGCUUGGACUACCGGCAUAUGUCACCACACCCAGCAAUUUCUUAUUUUUUAAUUGCAAAGAAAAUCUUUACCUUUUUCUUUCUGACUUGAAGCAGGUCAUCAGAUUGUCAACAGCUGCACCUUUCCUCAUUUUGAUGCUUAUUUACCCCCUUUAUUUACCCCCAUAGCUACUCCCACACAGCUGAAAUAAAUGGGUAAUUUAUUAGAACCCAGCCUCUUAAUUAGUUAUACACCUUUAACAUUGGCUUGAAUCUUGGAGGCCCAUCCCAGCACCCACAUUGGUUCCAAGAUUUUCAGCCUAGUGUAGUGGCUAUAAAUAGCUCAUUUCUAUCUACACUUAAGUUUUGAAAGAAGGAAAGAAAGAAAGAGAGACAGAAAAAGAAAGAAAGAAAAGAAAGAGAGAAAGAAAG